GGAGCGGGUCGGACGGCCGCGUGGCGCAUUGGCGCCCCGAGGAAGGUCCGGACUCCACAGGGCAGGGUGCUGGCUAACGGCCAGGCGCAGCAGGCCUUCGGGCCGAGGGCGACGGAAAGUGGAACAGAGAGCAGACCGCCGAUGACGGGCGGUCGUCGUGCCGCGCGGCGCAGGUCGCGGGGUGCGGCGCCCGUUCCGGCAGGCAAGGGUGAAACGGUGAGGCAAGAGCUCACCGCGUCCGUGGCGACACGGACGGCACGCCAAACCCCACCCGGAGCAACAUCAAAUAGGCACGCGAUCCGGGUUCUUCCCGGGCAGGACGGCCCGUCCGAGCGUGCGGGUAGAUGGCUCGAGCGCGCGGGCAACCGCGCGCCCAGAUGAAUGGCCGUCCGGCCGGCUUGCCGGCCGACAGAAUCCGGCCUACAGCCCCGCUCCCAAC
rnacentral:RNase_P_RNA from 1 species